AACACGACUCUCGGCAACGGAUAUCUCGGCUCUCGCAUCGAUGAAGAACGUAGCGAAAUGCGAUACCUGGUGUGAAUUGCAGAAUCCCGCGAACCAUCGAGUCUUUGAACGCAAGUUGCGCCCGAGGCCAUCCGGCCGAGGGCACGCCUGCCUGGGCGUCACGCC
rnacentral:rRNA from 1 species